rnacentral:rRNA from 1 species
UACGUAGGUGGCAAGCGUUGUCCGGCGUUACUGGGUGUAAAGGGCGUGUCGACGGGUCUGCAAGUCAGAUGUGAAAUACCGGGGCUCAACUCCGGGGCUGCAUUUGAAACUGUGGAUCUUGAGUGCGGGAGAGGGAAGCGGAAUUCCUAGUGUAGCGGUGAAAUGCGUAGAUAUUAGGAGGAACACCAGUGGCGAAGGCGGCUUUCUGGACCGUAACUGACGUUGAGGCGCGAACGCGUGGGGAGCAAACAGG